AACGCUGGCGGCGCGCUUAACACAUGCAAGUCGAGCGAGAACCGGUCCUUCGGGACCGGGGACAGCGGCGAACGGGUGAGUAACACGUGGGUAAUCUGCCCUCGAUUCUGGGAUAGCCCGGGGAAACCCGGAUUAAUACCGGAUAGCCUCUCGAGCUUUCGAGCUCGUGAGAAAAGGUAGCUUCGGCCUCCGAUCGAAGAUGAGCCCGCGGCGGAUUAGCUUGUUGGUGGGGUAACGGCCUACCAAGGCGACGAUCCGUAGCUGGUCUGAGAGGACGAUCAGCCACACUGGGACUGAGACACGGCCCAGACUCCUACGGGAGGCAGCAGUGGGGAAUCUUGCGCAAUGGGCGAAAGCCUGACGCAGCGACGCCGCGUGGGGGAAGAAGGCCUUCGGGCUGUAAACCUCUUUCAGCAGGGACGAAGCCACUCGGGUGAAUAGCCCAGAGGGUGACGGUACCUGCAGAAGAAGCCCCGGCUAACUACGUGCCAGCAGCCGCCGUAAAAC
rnacentral:rRNA from 1 species